AAGUCGUAACAAGGUUUCCGUAGGUGAACCGGAAGGAUCAUUAACACGUAUCCAACGUUAAAACCCCCAUCGUACGUAGCAAUCCCUGGUAAAUCAUCGCCGAACAGUUUUGAUUCAGGGACCUCUAUAGUCCGAAGAGUCAUACCAUUAGAGCAUAUAGCAAUGGAUCUGGCAUUCCUCUUGUUAGUGUCUGAAAGUGUCACUAGCUCUGUACGGAUGGCGCAGUAACGAUCGCUGGAGGCCACGGCCGGCGACCAGGUCCCUGGGUGAAACCCCCCUAUAGUCACCUCCAUUGCACGAUUAACGCGGUGCGAUUCGUACGCACCCUCCAUCGAAUCCUUAGAACAACUGUUAACAAUGGAUAUCUUGGUUCUC
rnacentral:misc_RNA from 1 species